ACKGCUCAGUAACACGUGGCUAACCUACCCUUGAGACGGAGACAACCCCGGGAAACUGGGGCUAAUCCCAGAUAGAUGAGAACUCCUGGAACGGGUUCUCGUCCAAAGGGCGUCUAGGUCAUGCUUCUAGGCGUCGCUCAAGGAUGGGGCCGCGCCCGAUCAGGCUGUUGGUGAGGCAACGGCUCACCAAACCUUUAACCGGUACGGGCCGUGGGAGCGGGUGCCCGGAGAUGGGAACUGAGACAAGGUCCCAGGCCCUACGGGGCGCAGCCGUUGCGAAAACUCGUCAAUGCACGAAAGUGUGAACGGGCUACCCCGAGUGCUGUCCGCUGAGGAUGGCUUUUCUCUGCUGUAAGGAGGCGGAGGAAUAAGGAGAGGGCAAGUCUGGUGUCAGCCGCCGCGGUAAUACCAGCUCUCCGAGUGGUGGGGAUGUUUAUUGGGCCUAAAGCGUCCGUAGCCUGCCCUUCAAGUCUUUCGUUAAAUCCAGCGAUUCAAUCGUUGGACUGCAGGAGAUACUGCAAGGCUAGGAGGCGAGAGAAGCCGACGGUAUUUUCGGGGUAGGGGUAAAAUCCUAUAAUCCCGAGAAGACCACCAGUGGCGAAGGCGGUCGGCUAGCGCGCGCUCGACAGUGAGGGACGAAAGCUGGGGGAGCGAACCGGAUUAGAUACCCGGGUAGUCCCAGCUGUAAACGAUGCUGGCUAGGUGUUGAAGCGGCCACGAGCCGCUUCAGUGCCGCAGGAAAGCCAUUAAGCCAGCCGCCUGGGGAGUACGGCCGCAAGGCUGAAACUUAAAGGAAUUGGCGGGGGAGCAC
rnacentral:rRNA from 1 species